rnacentral:rRNA from 1 species
GACUGCGGAGGAUCAUUAAGAGACGUUGCCCUUCGGGGUAUACCUCCCACCCAUUGUUUAUUAUACCUUUGUUGCUUUGGCAGACCCGGCUUCGGCCCACCGGCUCCGGCUGGUCAGUGUCUGCCAGAGGACCUAAAACUCUGUUUGUUAAUAUUGUCUGAGUACUAUAUAAUAGUUAAAACUUUCAACAACGGAUCUCUUGGUUCUGGCAUCGAUGAAGAACGCAGCGAAAUGCGAUAAGUAAUGUGAAUUGCAGAAUUCAGUGAAUCAUCGAAUCUUUGAACGCACAUCGCGCCCUCUGGUAUUCCGGGGGGCAUGCCUGUUCGAGCGUCAUUACAACCCUCAAGCUUUGCUUGGUAUUGGACAUUGCCAGUUUCUGGCAGGUCUUAAAAUCAGUGGCGGUGCCAUUUGGCUUCAAGCGUAGUAAUUCUUCUCGCUUUGGGGAUCCAGGUGGUUACUUGCCAAUAACCCCCAAUUUUUUCAGGUUGACCUCGGAUCAGGUAGGGAUACCCGCUGAACUUAAGCAUAUCAAUAAGCGGAGGA